GAUAAGUUCAUGAAGGAGACAGGAUAAUAGAAAAGGGAGUUCUGGCACUUCAAACAAUUUGUGGGAUUCAU